GGGUUGUGAGGUUAAGCGACUAAGCGUACACGGUGGAUGCCCUGGCAGUCAGAGGCGAUGAAGGACGUGCUAAUCUGCGAUAAGCGUCGGUAAGGUGAUAUGAACCGUUAUAACCGGCGAUUUCCGAAUGGGGAAACCCAGUGUGAUUCGUCACACUAUCAUUAACUGAAUCCAUAGGUUAAUGAGGCGAACCGGGGGAACUGAAACAUCUAAGUACCCCGAGGAAAAGAAAUCAACCGAGAUUCCCCCAGUAGCGGCGAGCGAACGGGGAGGAGCCCAGAGCCUGAAUCAGUGUGUGUGUUAGUGGAAGCGUCUGGAAAGGCGCGCGAUACAGGGUGACAGCCCCGUACACAAAAAUGCACAUGCUGUGAGCUCGAUGAGUAGGGCGGGACACGUGGUAUCCUGUCUGAAUAUGGGGGGACCAUCCUCCAAGGCUAAAUACUCCUGACUGACCGAUAGUGAACCAGUACCGUGAGGGAAAGGCGAAAAGAACCCCGGCGAGGGGAGUGAAAAAGAACCUGAAACCGUGUACGUACAAGCAGUGGGAGCCUCUUUAUGGGGUGACUGCGUACCUUUUGUAUAAUGGGUCAGCGACUUAUAUUCUGUAGCAAGGUUAACCGAAUAGGGGAGCCGAAGGGAAACCGAGUCUUAACUGGGCGUUAAGUUGCAGGGUAUAGACCCGAAACCCGGUGAUCUAGCCAUGGGCAGGUUGAAGGUUGGGUAACACUAACUGGAGGACCGAACCGACUAAUGUUGAAAAAUUAGCGGAUGACUUGUGGCUGGGGGUGAAAGGCCAAUCAAACCGGGAGAUAGCUGGUUCUCCCCGAAAGCUAUUUAGGUAGCGCCUCGUGAAUUCAUCUCCGGGGGUAGAGCACUGUUUCGGCAAGGGGGUCAUCCCGACUUACCAACCCGAUGCAAACUGCGAAUACCGGAGAAUGUUAUCACGGGAGACACACGGCGGGUGCUAACGUCCGUCGUGAAGAGGGAAACAACCCAGACCGCCAGCUAAGGUCCCAAAGUCAUGGUUAAGUGGGAAACGAUGUGGGAAGGCCCAGACAGCCAGGAUGUUGGCUUAGAAGCAGCCAUCAUUUAAAGAAAGCGUAAUAGCUCACUGGUCGAGUCGGCCUGCGCGGAAGAUGUAACGGGGCUAAACCAUGCACCGAAGCUGCGGCAGCGACGCUUAUGCGUUGUUGGGUAGGGGAGCGUUCUGUAAGCCUGUGAAGGUGUGCUGUGAGGCAUGCUGGAGGUAUCAGAAGUGCGAAUGCUGACAUAAGUAACGAUAAAGCGGGUGAAAAGCCCGCUCGCCGGAAGACCAAGGGUUCCUGUCCAACGUUAAUCGGGGCAGGGUGAGUCGACCCCUAAGGCGAGGCCGAAAGGCGUAGUCGAUGGGAAACAGGUUAAUAUUCCUGUACUUGGUGUUACUGCGAAGGGGGGACGGAGAAGGCUAUGUUGGCCGGGCGACGGUUGUCCCGGUUUAAGCGUGUAGGCUGGUUUUCCAGGCAAAUCCGGAAAAUCAAGGCUGAGGCGUGAUGACGAGGCACUACGGUGCUGAAG
rnacentral:rRNA from 1 species